rnacentral:rRNA from 1 species
AUUGAACGCUGGCGGCAGGCCUAACACAUGCAAGUCGAGCGAGCGGCGGACGGGUGUGUAAUGUAUGGGGCCUGCCCGAUAGAGGGGGAUAACUACUGGAAACGGUGGCUAAUACCGCAUACUAUCGGAUAACCCAUAUGUGAUUAGCUAGUAGGUGGGGUAAAGGCUCACCUAGGCGACGAUCUCUAGCUGGUCUGAGAGGAUGAUGAGCAACCCUGGAACUGAGACACGACCCGGACUCCUACGGAGGAAGCAGUGGGGAAUAUUGCACAAUGGGCGAAGGCCGGAUGCAGCCAUGCCGUGUGUAUGAGGAAGGUUUUAGGGUUGUAAAGUACGUUCAGCGGGGAGGCGUUACCCGAAGAAGAAGGAACGGCUAACUCCGUGCCAGCAGCCGCGGUAAUUC